UAUUAGUCCCCUACUUUUGAAACAGACUGGUUCACCCUCAUAUUACGCAACAAGUGUUAGUAUCGCAAGAAGCUCCUUUGAUUUCUUUCUUGAAUAGUAAAGCUCCUUAGAACUUUAAUUAGUGUUUACUGUAGAAGUAACUGUUAUCUUUGAUAUUCAACAAGAUAAAUGUUUUUACUUUACAGGAUCCUCAGGUGGUGACUGGCUCUCAUGACACAACCAUUAAGUUUUGGGAUCUUAGAGGUGGGAAAUCAAUGCUAACCCUCACCCAUCAUAAGAAAUCUGUUCGAGCAAUGGCACAACAUCCUACAGAGAACAGUUUUGCAUCUGCAUUAGCAGACAACAUAAAGAAAUUCAACCUUCCUCGAGGAGAGUUUCUGCAUAAUAUGCU